GGAGAAGUGGCCGAGGGGUUGAAGGCGCUUUCCUGCUAAGAAAGAACGGUUUUAAACAGCCGUCGAGGGUUCAAAUCCCUCCUUCUCCG
rnacentral:tRNA from 2 species